GUGGCCGCAAGGCCAUAACGAGGAAGCAGGUGAAAGUCCUGCGCUGUACCGGCAACUGUAACGCGGACGGGGACCGGAUGCCAUUGCGCUUUUGGCGUGAGAAGGCGGUCCCAGAAGGAUGAUGCGAAGCCAGGAGACUUACCCGAAAG
rnacentral:ncRNA from 1 species